rnacentral:rRNA from 1 species
CGUAGGGUGCGAGCGUUAAUCGGAAUUACUGGGCGUAAAGCGUGCGCAGGCGGUUUUGUAAGACAGGCGUGAAAUCCCCGGGCUCAACCUGGGAACUGCGUUUGUGACUGCAAGGCUAGAGUAUGGCAGAGGGGGGUGGAAUUCCACGUGUAGCAGUGAAAUGCGUAGAGAUGUGGAGGAACACCGAUGGCGAAGGCAGCCCCCUGGGCCAAUACUGACGCUCAUGCACGAAAGCGUGGGUAGCAAACAGGAUUAGAUACCCUGGUAGUCCACGCCCUAAACGAUGUCAACUAGGUGUUGGGUGGGUAAAACCAUUUAGUACCGGAGCUAACGCGUGAAGUUGACCGCCUGGGGAGUACGGCCGCAAGGUUA